UGGGAGACCAAACAUGUAGAAAGUUUCUUCUGCUCUUUGACCGAGUGUUGUUUGGCUAAAAGUAGUGCAGCCAAAACCGUAACCAAAGAAGGCAUUAUGCUUCCAGAAAAUUCUCAGGAAAAGUAUUGCAAGCAAUACUGUUGGAUUGGGCCCUAAAGGAAAGGGAUUCAAGCAGUUAGUGUGAAAGCUGGAGAUAAAGUACUUCUCUCAGAAUAUGGAGGCACCAAAGUAAUUCUAGACCACAGCGAUUAUUUUUUUAUUUAGAGAUAGUGACAUUCUUAGAAAGUAGGUAGAC
rnacentral:lncRNA from 1 species